CCCCUAACGUCCUGGUCCUGGUUGGCAAUGAGCUAGCUAAUUGUUCCAACGGCCAACAUUAGCUGGUCUAUUGCCAGCCUGUACCUCGACAUCCUGGCCU
rnacentral:pre_miRNA from 1 species